AUGAGUCCACCAUACCUACCUAUAUACGGUAUCUACCUGCCGUUCCAAGUAAAUUUGUAUGUGCCAAACUCUAAACCUUCAAAUAAAUAUCCUGUUUUGUAUGCUCGAAUAGCUCAUGUAUCAACUAGAGCUGUCUGUAUCUUCCAUGUUAGGCAGGUUAUUCUCAAGAGGAGUGGACUCCGCUCCUCACUCAUGAGAAAGUGGCUGGUCACCGGGAUGCCCAGUCCCAUGCUUUAUGCAAAUCAAAUCAAAAUAAUUGCAAACAAAACUCCCCCUGCGACUCUUGUUAGUUGGAGGCACUCGUUGUUUGGAGCAAGCCAUGGAUUGAUACUUGUUGGUGGAAGGGGGAGUAUAAACUUUACCAUUCUGUUUGGGAACCGCCUAUAA
rnacentral:rRNA from 1 species